AUGGGAUUCUGGGCAUUAUGCAGGCUGGAAAGAAGGGAUUCUUUGGGAUGCUGCACUCUCCAGGGGGGGAACCUGCUCCACCAAAACCUGGGUUGGCCCCAGGCCUCUUCCUGCCCUCACCACACUUUUCCAGAGAGAGAGUAACAAGGACAUGUCUCUUCUGUCUCAUCUCACCCACUCUGCAGCUCUCGGUUCAGUGGAACAAGGGGAGUGGGUGUACCCCACCCUCCAGAGGCCAUGUAGCCUGCCAUCCCCCAAGCCUGCCUAUGCCUCAGAAACACCUGGCAAACUUAAAAUACAAAACCAAACGGAUUUCCAGGCCUAUAUCUCAGCUCUGUUGAAUAAGAAUCUCCUAGACUUCAGCCGGCAGGUGGGAACAGAAGAAACACGGGCCAGAGCGGAGGACAAUCACCCAUGAGGCUGAAGACGCAGAAACUGCAAGGCCCCUCCCUUUCACAGGCUCCUUUUAACAGCCUUUCCUUUCCCAUUUAGAUAGUCACUUCUCUACUCAGAAUUUCAUACUAUUUUCUUCAACUGCGUAAGCAUCAAGCCUUGUAAACCUGGCACUUCCCCGGCCUGGUGAACUCACCGUUGCGUACAAUCUUCCUUUACUGUUCAUGGCAACGAAGAGCGCACUUCUCACUCCAAAGAGACUCACCACACCUCGCUCCACGGUGGAAAUUUCCAGCAGGCCUGACAAGGAAAGGGGGGCCACAUUACCCAAGGCUCGUGCAAAUCACAGUGGGAACUUGAGCCAACAAGGGCAUCUCAGUCCAUCCCCAUUCUCCCAGAAAGCCAGACUCCAUCACCCCAUCCACCAUCCCUCUCACUCUAGGAGACCCUGGCUGCUGCACUCAUCCAGUGCUGCCAUUGUGCUGUGAAAAAUCCAGUUCUGCAAGGGAAAGUUCUCAUAUCAGAGUUAGGGACUGCAAUGACCACUUAGCUACCUAUUUAAGAUGAGCCUUGACUCUGGGCUUUCAUUGACAUAAUUACUUGAGGUCCUUGACUUGAGUAAAAAACUACAUUCUGAUUAUUAGUAUUCUUAAUGUGUACUCUACAUGUUUCAACAAAUCUCAACCCCCUUGAUCUUGAAAACGCAGCGGCCACGCCAUGGCUGAUGGCUUUCUUGGAUCCUGCAGCCCCCAUCCUUUCUUGGAUAGGAGACUAACCAUACAGCAAGCCGACAACUUGCAGGAUAAGAACCUGGGGACAGAGGGAGCUCGCUGAAAUAAAAAGACGGAUGUGCUCCAGUUGGACAUUUUGCAAUUGAAUUUCCUUGCCUUCUCCAAGAAAGAAGCUCAAUAAAAAUCAGCUUGUGUCAAAUUUGA